UACGGAAGGCAGCAGUGGGGAAUAUUGCACAAUGGGCGCAAGCCUGAUGCAGCCAUGCCGCGUGUAUGAAGAAGGCCUUCGGGUUGUAAAGUACUUUCAGUCGUGAGGAAGGUGUUAAGGUUAAUAACCUUAGCAAUUGACGUUAGCGACAGAAGAGGCACCGGCUAACUCCGUGCCAGCAGCCGCGGUAAUACGGAGGGUGCGAGCGUUAAUCGGAAUUACUGGGCGUAAAGGGCAUGCAGGCGGUUAAUAAGUUGGAUGUGAAAUCCCCGGGCUUAACCUGGGAAUGGCAUUCAAGACUGGUUAGCUAGAGUCUUGUAGAGGGGGUAGAAUUCCAUGUGUAGCGGUGAAAUGCGUAGAGAUGUGGAGGAAUACCGGUGGCGAAGGCGGCCCCUGGGACAAGACUGACGCUCAUGUGCGAAAGCGUGGGGAGCGAAACAGGGAUUAGGAUACC
rnacentral:rRNA from 1 species